rnacentral:rRNA from 1 species
AACGAACGCUGGCGGCAGGCUUAACACAUGCAAGUCGAACGGUUGUAGCAAUACAGCAGUGGCAGACGGGUGAGUAACACGUGGGAACCUUCCUAGGGGUACGGAACAACUCAGGGACACUUGAGCUAAUACCGUAUACGUCCGUGAGGAGAAAGAUUUAUCGCCCUUAGACGGGCCCGCGUCGGAUUAGCUAGUUGGUGGUGUAACGGCCUACCAAGGCGACGAUCCGUAGCUGUUCUUAGAGAGUGAUCAGCCACACUGGGACUGAGACACGGCCCAGACUCCUACGGGAGGCAGCAGUGGGGAAUCUUGGACAAUGGGCGCAAGCCUGAUCCAGCCAUGCCGCGUGAGUGAAGAAGGUAUUCGGAUUGUAAAGCUCUUUUGCCAGGGACGAUAAUGACGGUACCUGGAGAAUAAGCCCCGGCAAACUUCGUGCCAGCAGCCGCAGUAA